CGUUAACGCUGGCGGUAGGCCUAACACAUGCAAGUCGAACGGCAGCACAGUAAGAGCUUGCUCUUACGGGUGGCGAGUGGCGGACGGGUGAGGAAUACAUCGGAAUCUACUUUUUCGUGGGGGAUAACGUAGGGAAACUUACGCUAAUACCGCAUACGACCUACGGGUGAAAGCAGGGGAUCUUCGGACCUUGCGCGAUUGAAUGAGCCGAUGUCGGAUUAGCUAGUUGGCGGGGUAAAGGCCCACCAAGGCGACGAUCCGUAGCUGGUCUGAGAGGAUGAUCAGCCACACUGGAACUGAGACACGGUCCAGACUCCUACGGGAGGCAGCAGUGGGGAAUAUUGGACAAUGGGCGCAAGCCUGAUCCAGCCAUACCGCGUGGGUGAAGAAGGCCUUCGGGUUGUAAAGCCCUUUUGUUGGGAAAGAAAAGCAGCAGGUUAAUACCCCGCUGUUCUGACGGUACCCAAAGAAUAAGCACCGGCUAACUUCGUG
rnacentral:rRNA from 1 species